rnacentral:rRNA from 1 species
AUGUCAAAGCUGAAGCGGAGGUGUCAACUCAGUGUCGUAGAGGACCACCCGGUAUUCAGAUACUGUUCUUCACAUUCUGUUUGUAUUGUAGUACUGGUAAUGGUGAAUAAACAGGGGUUGAACUGCAGAAGUGUUACCAAGCCACUUGCAGCAUCUGGUCAAAGCUGCCUGAAACUAUCAAACUGCCUGUUGUAUCGAAGUUAUUUAGCUCAACCAACCAGUGGCGCUAUUGUCAAAGAGAGGCUGCAGGGGAGCCCAGGAUUCCCGGCGCAACAAACGGCAGGUGAUGGUGAUGGUGAUCCAGGAGAGGUGGCAGGAAGGAGACAAAAGGGUAGGAAACUGGAGGUUUCAGUCAAAUGA